CGCAAAUUUGCAAUUCUGGCGGGAAGAAAUUUGCAACCUCAUGCGUUUUUUAUCUCAUUUGAAAAGCAAAUUGUGGCAAAACAAUGACAAUUAACAACGUUAAUUACUGCAUGUCAACUGCAUAAAUUUUACUAAUCCUGACUAAUUCCAAACUUAUAGGCAUUCAAAAAUACAUAAAAUCCAAGUGUAGAAGUUUUGAAUAUGCUAGCCUCAAGUCACUGAAGUGAAUAUUCACUAAAUGGCCUUGGCUUUGACAUUAUUGGAUUUGGUGAAUAGAAGGCAGAAGCAGUUGCCCAUCAACUAUUAAAAGAUCGAACAUUCUGGUCAUCCGACUGUGUUGCUAAAUCGUGCUUAUAAAUCCAGGUAACAA
rnacentral:lncRNA from 1 species